rnacentral:rRNA from 1 species
CCUACGGGGAGGCAGCAGUGAGGAAGAGGGGGAAAGGGACGAGAGGCUGAAACAGAGAAGGAGCGAGAAGGAUGACUGCCCUAUGGGUUGUAAACUUCUUUUAUAAAGGAAUAAAACGAGGCACGUGUGCCUUUUUGCAUGUACUUUAUGAAUAAGGAUCGGCUAACUCCGUGCCAGCAGCCGCGGUAAUACGGAGGAUCCGAGCGUUAUCCGGAUUUAUUGGGUUUAAAGGGAGCGUAGAUGGGUUGUUAAGUCAGUUGUGAAAGUUUGCGGCUCAACCGUAAAAUUGCAAUUGAUACUGGCAGUCUUGAGUACAGUUGAGGUAGGCGGAAUUCGUGGUGUAGCGGUGAAAUGCUUAGAUAUCACGAAGAACCCCGAUUGCGAAGGCAGCUUACUAAACUGUGACUGACAUUGAUGCUCGAAAGUGUGGGUAUCAAACAGGAUUAGAUACCCUUGUAGUC